AUUGAACGCUGGCGGCAGGCCUAACACAUGCAAGUCGAACGAGUGGCGGACGGGUGAGUAAUGUCUGGGCAACUGCCUGAUGGAGGGGGAUAACUACUGGAAACGGUAGCUAAUACCGCAUACCAUCAGAUGUGCCCAGAUGGGAUUAGCUUGUUGGUGGGGUAACGGCUCACAAGGGCGACGAUCCCUAGCUGGCCGGAGAGGAUGACCAGCCACACUGGAACGGAGAGACGGUCCAGACUCCUACGGGAGGCAGCAGGGGGGAAUAUUGGACAAUGGGCGAAAGCCUGAGGCAGCCAUGCCGCGGGUAUGAAGAAGGCCUUCGGGUUGUAAAGUACGUUCAGCGGGGAGGCGUUACCCGCAGAAGAAGCACCGGCUAACUCCGUGCCAGCAGCCGCGGUAAUAC
rnacentral:rRNA from 1 species